AAUGAGUUCUGUGCUUUCAAAAUACAGUGGUGUGAUAGGCAUAGGAUAAACAAUCCCAUUCUAAAAGGGAAAAUAAUAGGAAAGAAGAAAGGAGUAACAGAGCUUGAGAAGAAUCUUUGACCUGAUGUUCUGCCCUCCAGGCCCACUGAGGAUGGAUCCCAUGUACCAGACCCAUUGAGGCAGCAGUCUGACCCCUGCAGACUUGUUGGGCAGGGGUUGACCCAAAGCUUCAGGCAGCUCUGUACCCAUGGCAGUUCUCUGCCUUGACCCUGCAGCUUUCCAGGGCUGGGGUCCCAAGUCCAUGACUCUACCAGGAGGCCUCAUCCUUUGAAAUCUAGGUGGGGACAACCAUACCCUGACAGCUGUGCUGAACAUAGCUCAGGCCACACUGAGGUCCACCAGAAUGCUACCCAGGGUUGCUGAGGAGAACAGAGCUGGAGUGUAGGGAAUGGAGUCCUUGAUGUGAGGCAAGGUCUGUAUGCGGAACUCCUAUGCACACCAGGCAUCAGCAAGCCUCUUCUUUGAAACCGUUCUAUCCCUCUCUGCCCCCAACCCUUGUACUGUGGGCCUGUAAUGGAAGGGAUAACCCUGAUGGUCUCUGAAUUGCCUCCAGGCGUUCUCCAUUCUCUUGGGGAAGAGCUGGUAGCUUCUGUUGAGAUGGUUGACAAAUCUCCUUAUCAAACAGUUGUUUGGCCACCCCCUUAGUUUUCUCUCUUAAACCAGGUUUCUCAUUCCAAUAUGGAUACACUGAGAAUUUUCCAAAUCUUUAAGUUCUGCCUCCCUUUUGAUGAACCAUCCCAUCUUUAAAUAAUUUCUUUUUUCUCAUUUUAUUAUAAGCAAUCAGAAGAAACCAGUCCACUCCUUCACGCUUCACUUAGACAUUUCUGCAGCCAAAUAUCCAGUUUCAUUUCUUGCAAGUUCUACUUUACACAAAACACUGGGACAGGAACACAAUUCAGCCAAGUUCCUUAAGACUUUACAACAGAGACCACCUUCCUCCAGUUUUCAAUAACAAGUUCUUCUUUUCUGUCUGAGACCUCAUCAGAACAGCUUUUACUGUUCAUAUUUCUACCAACCUUCUCUUCAAGAUUA
rnacentral:lncRNA from 1 species